AUUGAACGCUGGCGGCAGGCCUAACACAUGCAAGUCGAGCGGAUGAAGGGAGCUUGCUCCUGGAUUCAGCGGCGGACGGGUGAGUAAUGCCUAGGAAUCUGCCUGGUAGUGGGGGAUAACGUCCGGAAACGGGCGCUAAUACCGCAUACGUCCUGAGGGAGAAAGUGGGGGAUCUUCGGACCUCACGCUAUCAGAUGAGCCUAGGUCGGAUUAGCUAGUUGGUGGGGUAAAGGCCUACCAAGGCGACGAUCCGUAACUGGUCUGAGAGGAUGAUCAGUCACACUGGAACUUAGACACGGUCCAGGCUCCUACGGGAGGCAGCAGUGGGGAAUAUUGGACAAUGGGCGAAAGCCUGAUCCAGCCAUGCCGCGUGUGUGAAGAAGGUCUUCGGAUUGUAAAGCACUUUUAGUUGGGAGGAAGGGCAGUAAGUUAAUACCUUGCUGUUUUGACGUUACCAACAGAAUAAGCACCGGCUAACUUCGUG
rnacentral:rRNA from 1 species